rnacentral:rRNA from 1 species
AUUGAACGCUGGCGGCAGGCUUAACACAUGCAAGUCGAGCGGAGAUGAGGUGCUUGCACCUUAUCUUAGCGGCGGACGGGUGAGUAAUGCUUAGGAAUCUGCCUAUUAGUGGGGGACAACAUUCCGAAAGGAAUGCUAAUGCCGCAUACGUCCUACGGGAGAAAGCAGGGGAUCUUCGGACCUUGCGCUAAUAGAUGAGCCUAAGUCGGAUUAGCUAGUUGGUGGGGUAAAGGCCUACCAAGACGACGAUCUGUAGCGGGUCUAAGAGGAUGAUCCGCCACACUGGGACUGAGACACGGCCCAGACUCCUACGGGAGGCAGCAGUGGGGAAUAUUGGACAAUGGGGGGAACCCUGAUCCAGCCAUGCCGCGUGUGUGAAGAAGGCCUUAUGGUUGUAAAGCACUUUAAGCGAGGAGGAGGCUACUGAGACUAAUACUCUUGGAUAGUGGACGUUACUCGCAGAAUAAGCACCGGCUAACUCUGUGCCAGCCGCCGCCGUAAUAC